CCUACGGGAGGCAGCAGUGAGGAAUAUUGGUCAAUGGGCGAGAGCCUGAACCAGCCAAGUCGCGUGAAGGAUGACUGUCUUAUGGAUUGUAAACUUCUUUUGUAGGGGAAUAAAGAACAGUACGUGUACUGUAGUGAAUGUACCCUACGAAUAAGCAUCGGCUAACUCCGUGCCAGCAGCCGCGGUAAUACGGAGGAUGCGAGCGUUAUCCGGAUUUAUUGGGUUUAAAGGAUGCGUAGGCGGCCUGUUAAGUCAGCGGUGAAAUCUAGGAGCUUAACUCCUAAAUUGCCGUUGAUACUGGCGGGCUUGAGUGUAGAUGAGGUAGGCGGAAUGCGUGGUGUAGCGGUGGAAUGCAUAGAUAUCACGCAGAACUCCAAUUGCGAAGGCAGCUUACUAAGGUACAACUGACGCUGAAGCACGAAAGCGUGGGUAUCAAACAGGAUUAGAUACCCUGGUAGUCCACGCAGUAAACGAUGAUAACUGGGCGUAUGCGAUAUACAGUAUGCUCCUAAGCGAAAGCGUUAAGUUAUCCACCUGGGGAGUACGCCGGCAACGGUGAAACUCAAAGGAAUUGACGG
rnacentral:rRNA from 1 species